rnacentral:rRNA from 1 species
AUUGAACGCUGGCGGCAGGCUUAACACAUGCAAGUCGAGCGGGGUGAUGGUGCUUGCACUAUCACUUAGCGGCGGACGGGUGAGUAAUGCUUAGGAAUCUGCCUAUUAGUGGGGGACAACAUCUCGAAAGGGAUGCUAAUACCGCAUACGUCCUACGGGAGAAAGCAGGGGAGCACUUGUGACCUUGCGCUAAUAGAUGAGCCUAAGUCGGAUUAGCUAGUUGGUGGGGUAAAGGCCUACCAAGGCGACGAUCUGUAGCGGGUCUGAGAGGAUGAUCCGCCACACUGGGACUGAGACACGGCCCAGACUCCUACGGGAGGCAGCAGUGGGGAAUAUUGGACAAUGGGGGGAACCCUGAUCCAGCCAUGCCGCGUGUGUGAAGAAGGCCUUAUGGUUGUAAAGCACUUUAAGCGAGGAGGAGGCUCUUUUGGUUAAUACCCAAGAUGAGUGGACGUUACUCGCAGAAUAAGCACCGGCUAACUCUGUGCCAGCAGCCGCCGUAA